GGAACAAAGGCUCCCCCAACAAGUGAAGAAAUAGCUUAUUUCCCAUUUCACCUUCCUAUCUUCAAAUAGUCCAGUCACAUUUGGUACAUCAUUUGUCGUGUUUGUUCACAUCAGGGAGGGAUAUGUAUACGAUAGGCAUAGGCAUAGAAGGCACCAGGAAUCAUCGACAUAUCACCAUAAACUCAAUAUGCACCAAAUUGACAGGUCCAUCGGCGUGGCUUGCCCUCCUACUCCAUCGUCUCGACCAAUCUCCCCAUGGCUCGUCCAUCGGCCUACCAUUCUUCCCUUUUGCAACGGCAGACAUAUGCGC
rnacentral:lncRNA from 1 species